rnacentral:lncRNA from 1 species
UUUUUUUUUUCAACUUUUUCUUCAAACUUGGUAUUGAAUCCAGACAUGCACUACCACUCAGCUACAUUCAUGGUCAUAUUUGUAUUUAUAUCUAUCUAUCUAUCUAUCUAUCUAUCUAUCUAUCUAUCUAUCUAUCUACCAUUUUUCUAUCUCUAUUUGUGUAUCUAGCUUUGUCUCUAUUUAUUUAUUUAUUUAUUUUUUGAGACAGUAUCUCUGUAAGUUUUUAGGUCCUUGCUAGGUUGCAUGGACAUCAACCCUGAGUCUUUUGGUCUGUGGACCUGGGUUGCACCUGCUGUCCUCUCUUGGGUUAAGAGACCUGCAGACAUGGACUGGGAAUGCACCUAGUCUCUCUCCUUCUGAGUUUUGUGGCCUCUUGGUCUGAGAUCCAAACAGAGGUGGGCAAGGCAAUGCUGUUGACAGCCUGUUUUGACAGAUUACCAGGCCUUGGAGGAAGAAAUGUGGGUAUAUUAGGGACAAUUUCCUUUUGGAAGAGGUAUGGCCAGAUAUUUAAAAAUGGUCAGAAUUUAAAAUAAGUCCUUUCCAAAUAAAUGAUUAUUUAAAGGUUAUUACUGAGCAGAGACUGCCAAUAAUUAGCAUGAACAAACAAAGAUUCUACAUAGUCAUCUAUUCCCCCAUUUAGGCUCAUGAACCAAUGUCAUGGAGGUCCCUCCCUGGACUCCUACAAUAUCAGUCUCUUUUCACCCAGUUCAUGUGACCACAGGCACUUGAAGGCAUCCAACUCACCAAGAGGGCUGGACACUGUUGACCCCCAUUAUUAUAGCCAUACCAUGAGAUCAGACUGACACCCGGCAUCCACCUGACCAUAGUGGACCUGACCAACACUGGAAGGCUGGGAAGGUUCUCCUCUGUGCCUUUGGGUUCAGUCCUGUGUCAGCCAGAAACAUGUGGAGAUCUCCUGAGAGCUUUCAUGAGUGCUAUAAAUCUUCCAUAAUACACCAUUCAACCAAGCAACUCAUUUACAGAAAAAUAAUCAACCUAGUGCACUUGACCAUGAUAUUAUCAUAAACGCAGGUACAGUGGUGUUAAUAAAGAGAAACCCACACAAAUCAAGCUAUGCUGGUCCUGGGCCCUGUGAGGUUGAUUUCCUGUCCUGCCUGGUGUGGAGAAGGCUCAGCAACACUGACCCUGUGUGAUUCUCUUUCCCCCAGAAAUGGAAUAUUAGCUCUUCAGAAUCUCGGGAUCAUCACCACCCUCUCUAUUGUGCCCAUGGAGCACCUUGAGAACUUCUAUCUGCUCACUUUGGUUUUCUGGUCAAAAGUUCUUGACCCAAAAAUUUGUCAUGGUCACUCUUCCAUUAAACUGAGUGAAAUGAUGAACACAUGGUCAUCAGAUCCCAUAGGACAAGGGACUAAUUGUGAAGAAAGUAUCCCAUUUUUGAGGCUAGGAUUAUAGAUCCUGGUCAUCAAUGGUUAAUAGGAAUCUAUCUAUGCAUUUUAAGAAAGUGACUGGAAAGUGUGUCAAUUCUGGAAGAGCUUCAGGAAUGGUCCUCCCAAUAACAUUGUCACUGGUGACAGCUGGUAGGUCAGUUCAGCAGGUGUCAGCAUGGAGCUUCAGGUGAUUCAGGAGGUGGCCAGCACAGGUCCAGGCAGCAUAAUGGGGCAUAGGGAAUGUGACCUGCACAGGGAGACAGGGAGAUGUGACCUCUAGCCACAGCCUCCUGGUCAGCCUGAGGCUGAGAAUCAUGGGGUCCAGUCCCUUCCUUCCUCACUGUGAUGUCAUAGUGUCACCUGGAUAUAACAGAAGCCAUCCUGGCUGCUUAGCUAAGGUCUGAUCAUGGCCCUGGACUAGGAUCAGGAGGCAGGAGGAGCAGGUUCACUCUACUUGCAGCCCUAACCCCCUCACCCUGUGCCUGUGUAUGCCGAGGUCAGGAGACACAACCAUGUGUGUGGCAGGUGUGUCUGUGAAGCUCCAAGCUGCUCUGCCCACCUGCUCUCCUCCCAGCAGUACAGCCCAGCCACGGUUGGGCUCUGAGGUCUUCACCUCAGGAUCCUCCUGCAUUGAUCUCAGACAGGUGGGGUUAGGGGAGCCCAGCAGUGAAAGAGCAGCCCCUGCCAAUCAGGUGAGAGCAGGUGGGCUCCAGGGAGAGCAGGCCUGCUGGGGGUGGGACCCUUAGGUGUAUGGUUACCACUGCUGGGGCACACACACACAGACACUCAUACACACACAGACACACACACAUACACACACUCAUACACACAGCCACACACACACACUCUCACACACACACUCAUACACACUCACACACACAGAUACACACACACAAAUACACACUCAUUCACACACACACAUAGACACACACAGACAUACACACAGACACUCACACAUACAGACACAUAACAUACAGACACAUACAUGUGCACAGAUUCACACACACACUCACACCCAGAAACACACACACACUCACACUCACAGAGAUACACGCACACAAACACACACACAGACACACACAGACACACACAGCUUCACGCAUAGACACAGACACACACAUACACACACACUCACACACACAGACACAGAGACACACAUUCACAAACACUCACACACACACGUAGACAUACACACAGACAUACACACACAGACAAGCCACAUACAGACACACACAGAGACACACAAAUGUGCACACACUCACACAUACUCACAGACACACUCACACACAAUCACACCCAGAAACACACACACACACACACCCCACAGUAGCCUGAGAUUAAGGUUGGGAGAGAAAUCAUGAACAUGGCCCAUAAUGGUAGCAUAACCUUCCUUUUCUCUCUCAUUUGAGGACACACAGGUGCUACUGUGAUGAUCCAGGCUCCCCCUCCUGCCUCUCACCCAUACCACCUCCUGCAGGUCCACACAGAGCCUUCUACAAACAGAUGAAUACAUUGAUUCUUGCAGAAGGCAGGAGAAUCUAUGUGGCUUC